GGACUACCCGGGUAUCUAAUCCUGUUUGCUACCCACGCUUUCGUGUCUCAGCGUCAGUCGUGGUCCAGUAAGCUGUCUACACCACAGGUGUUCCUCCUGAUAUCUACGCAUUUCACCGCUACACCAGGAAUUCCGCUUACCUCUCCCACACUCAAGCACUGCAGUUUCUAGCGCACCCUCCCAGUUGAGCCGGGAGAUUUCACACCAGACUUACAGCACCGCCUACACACUCUUUACGCCCAGUAAUUCCGAACAACGCUCGCUGCCUACGUAUUACCGCGGCGGCUGGCAC
rnacentral:rRNA from 1 species